GAUGAACGCUAGCGGCAGGCCUAACACAUGCAAGUCGAGGGGCAGCACAGGUAGCAAUACUGGGUGGCGACCGGCGGAUGGGUGCGUAACGCGUAUGCAACCUACCAUUGAUUGGGGCAUAGCCCGAAGAAAUUCGGAUUAAUACUCCAUAAUAUUCAUCAAAGGCAUCUUUUAUGAAUUAAAGCUUUUGCGAUCAAUGAUGGGCAUGCGUGACAUUAGUUAGUUGGUGAGGUAACGGCUCACCAAACGAUGAUGUCUAGGGGUUCUGAGAGGAUUAUCCCCCACACUGGUACUGAGACACGGACCAGACUCCUACGGGAGGCAGCAGUGAGGAAUAUUGGUCAAUGGACGCAAGUCUGAACCAGCCAUGCCGCGUGCAGGAUGACGGCCCUAUGGGUUGUAAACUGCUUUUCCACGGGAAGAACCCUCCGACGUGUCGGAGACUGACGGUACCGUGGGAAUAAGCAUCGGCUAACUCCGUGCC
rnacentral:rRNA from 1 species